GUCAUACCACAUUUGUUCAAGAAAAUAAUUUUAAAGUAUUUUAAUAGAAUUAUUGGAAACCAGAAUUGCCACUGUUUAUUAAGGCCACAUACGUCUAGGUGAACAAACCUUAGUGUUUUUGUCGAGCCUUCGACUUUAGUCGAAAAAGCGAGACUUAGCGAUCCUACAUUCCGUCGUCGUCGGCGGCGUCCACAAAUAUUCACUCUGUGGUUAAAGUUUUUGAAAUUUUAAUAACUUUCUUAAACUAUACUGGAUUUCUACCAAACUUGGACAGAAG
rnacentral:lncRNA from 1 species